rnacentral:rRNA from 1 species
AGUGAACGCUGGCGGUAGACCUAACACAUGCAAGUCGAACGGCAGCACAGUAAGAGCUUGCUCUUACGGGUGGCGAGUGGCGGACGGGUGAGGAAUACAUCGGAAUCUACUUUUUCGUGGGGGAUAACGUAGGGAAACUUACGCUAAUACCGCAUACGACCUACGGGUGAAAGCAGGGGAUCUUCGGACCUUGCGCGAUUGAAUGAGCCGAUGUCGGAUUAGCUAGUUGGCGGGGUAAAGGCCCACCAAGGCGACGAUCCGUAGCUGGUCUGAGAGGAUGAUCAGCCACACUGGAACUGAGACACGGUCCAGACUCCUACGGGAGGCAGCAGUGGGGAAUAUUGGACAAUGGGCGCAAGCCUGAUCCAGCCAUACCGCGUGGGUGAAGAGGGCCUUCGGGUUGUAAAGCCCUUUUGUUGGGAAAGAAAAGCAGCAGGUUAAUACCCCGCUGUUCUGACGGUACCCAAAGAAUAAGCACCGGCUAACUUCGUG